GGUUUAUCCUGCCCGGUGACUUACGAGUUUAACGGCCGCAGUAAACUUGACUGUGCUAAGGUAGCGAGAUCCCUUGCCCUUUAAUUGGGGGCCAGAUGAAUGGAUUAACGAGAAUUAAGCUGUCUCUUUUUAGAGUGUGGAAAUUGGGGUUUAAGUGAAUACACUUAAAUUUAUAUACAAGACAAAAAGACCCCAUAGAGCUUUGUUUUAUUUAUUGUAAUAAUAACAUUAAAUUAUAUAUAUUUAUUUAUUAAUAAUAGAAACUUAACUGGGAAGGUUGAGGAAAAUUUGAUCUUCUUUUAUAAUGUGAGAAUACAAUUCAUUUGUGGAACUUAAAAUUGGUUAAAGGAUAAGCUACCUUGGGGGUAACAGACUAAUUUUUCUUGAGAGUUCAUAUUGACAGAAAAGUUUGGCACAUCGAUGUUGGCUUAAGAGAUCCUAAAGGUCAGUASCAGCUUUUUAGGGCAGGUUUGUUCAACCUUUAAACUCUUACGUGAUCUGAGUUCAGACCGGAAAGUCCUACGUGAUCUGAGUUCA
rnacentral:rRNA from 1 species